GGAGCUUGCUCCCUGAUGUUAGCGGCGGACGGGUGAGUAACACGUGGGUAACCUGCCUGUAAGACUGGGAUAACUCCGGGAAACCGGGGCUAAUACCGGAUGCUUGUUUGAACCGCAUGGUUCAAACAUAAAAGGUGGCUUCGGCUACCACUUACAGAUGGACCCGCGGCGCAUUAGCUAGUUGGUGAGGUAACGGCUCACCAAGGCAACGAUGCGUAGCCGACCUGAGAGGGUGAUCGGCCACACUGGGACUGAGACACGGCCCAGACUCCUACGGGAGGCAGCAGUAGGGAAUCUUCCGCAAUGGACGAAAGUCUGACGGAGCAACGCCGCGUGAGUGAUGAAGGUUUUCGGAUCGUAAAGCUCUGUUGUUAGGGAAGAACAAGUACCGUUCGAAUAGGGCGGUACCUUGACGGUACCUAACCAGAAAGCCACGGCUAACUACGUGCCAGCAGCCGCGGUAAUACGUAGGUGGCAAGCGUUGUCCGGAAUUAUUGGGCGUAAAGGGCUCGCAGGCGGUUUCUUAAGUCUGAUGUGAAAGCCCCCGGCUCAACCGGGGAGGGUCAUUGGAAACUGGGGAACUUGAGUGCAGAAGAGGAGAGUGGAAUUCCACGUGUAGCGGUGAAAUGCGUAGAGAUGUGGAGGAACACCAGUGGCGAAGGCGACUCUCUGGUCUGUAACUGACGCUGAGGAGCGAAAGCGUGGGGAGCGAACAGGAUUAGAUACCCUGGUAGUCCACGCGUAAACGAUGAGUGCUAAGUGUAGGGGGUUCCGCCCCUUAGUGCUGCAGCUAACGCAUUAAGCACUCCGCCUGGGGAGUACGGUCGCAAGACUGAAACUCAAAGGAAUUGACGGGGGCCCGCACAAGCGGUGGAGCAUGUGGUUUAAUUCGAAGCAACGCGAAGAACCUUACCAGGUCUUGACAUCCUCUGACAAUCCUAGAGAUAGGACGUCCCCUUCGGGGGCAGAGUGACAGGUGGUGCAUGGUUGUCGUCAGCUCGUGUCGUGAGAUGUUGGGUUAAGUCCCGCAACGAGCGCAACCCUUGAUCUUAGUUGCCAGCAUUCAGUUGGGCACUCUAAGGUGACUGCCGGUGACAAACCGGAGGAAGGUGGGGAUGACGUCAAAUCAUCAUGCCCCUUAUGACCUGGGCUACACACGUGCUACAAUGGACAGAACAAAGGGCAGCGAAACCGCGAGGUUAAGCCAAUCCCACAAAUCUGUUCUCAGUUCGGAUCGCAGUCUGCAACUCGACUGCGUGAAGCUGGAAUCGCUAGUAA
rnacentral:rRNA from 1 species